rnacentral:rRNA from 1 species
UACGAAGGUCCCAAGCGUUAUCCGGAUUUAUUGGGUUUAAAGGGUGCGUAGGCGGAUUAUUAAGUCAGUGGUGAAAGCUUCCAGCUUAACUGGAAAACUGCCAUUGAUACUGAUGAUCUUGAGUAUGAUUGAAGUGGGCGGAAUGUGUCAUGUAGCGGUGAAAUGCUUAGAUAUGACACAGAACACCGAUUGCGAAGGCAGCUCACUAAGCCAUAACUGACGCUGAUGCACGAAAGCGUGGGGAGCAAACAGG